rnacentral:rRNA from 1 species
GAUCCGGCUCAGGAUAAACGCUGGCGGCGCACAUAAGACAUGCAAGUCGAACGGACUUAAUCGAAAUAUUUAUAUUUUGAAGCGGUUAGUGGCGGACUGGUGAGUAACGCGUAAGGAACCUGCCUAUUAGAGGGGAAUAACAGUGAGAAAUCAUUGCUAAUACCGCAUAUGCCAUAGAUAUCACAUGAUAACAGUGGGAAAGGAGCAAUCCGCUAAUAGAUGGCCUUGCGU